rnacentral:lncRNA from 1 species
CUGAUAUCUAUAAUAAGACGUUAAUACAUUUUCUCUAUUAUCAUUAUUACUAUUGUUACUAUUAUUAUUAUGUCAUAUCCUUUAGAAAUAUGGAACAUUCUGGGAGGCCGAGGUGGGCGGAUCACGAGGUCAGGAGAUUGAGACCAUCCUGGCUAACACGGUGAAACCCCGUCUCUACUAAAAAUACAAAAAAAUUAGCCGGGCAUGGUGGCGGGCGCCUGUAGUCCCCGCAACUUGGGAGGCUGAGGCAGGAGAAUGGUGCGAACCCGGGAGGCAGAUCUUGCAGAGAGACGAGAUCGUGCCACUGCACUCCAGCCUGGGCGACAGAGCAAGACUCCGUCUCAAAAUAAACAACAAACAAACAAAUAUGGAACAUUCUGAUAUGAAUAAGACACUUGCUCACUUCUCAAUUCCUUGGUGUCCAGGCUCCCGCACAAAUGAACCAUGUUCUUCGCCUAAGUCAUUUAUGGAACAUCUGCUUUCGGUUUAGCAUCAGGGGAAACAAAGCAAAGAAGAAUGACACCGAAGAAUCAAAAAUAAAAUGAGCAUAAGACCCAUCAAGAUUAUAGACACAUACAUUCCUAAAAUUGAACAUUAAGCAGAAUAAAAAUAAUCCCAGAUUAUAUGGUCUGACAUGCCAGAAGAAAUAAAAAGCUAAGGAAUUAGUUAAAAUCUGUGCAAAAACAAAAACAAAAAACCACUAUGACUAGAAAAAGC